rnacentral:tRNA from 1 species
GGUCGGCCUGGAUGACGGCGGUCUGCUCGUUCUGGUCGAGCAGCGCCCGGCCGUGCACCAGGACCAUCGGGUCGUUGUCGACGUACACCAC